GUCUUGUUCUCUUGUAGCUUGCAACUGUUCUAAGUGCUUUAUCUUCAUUAACUCAUUUAAUCCUUACAGGUCUGUGAGGCAGGUUCCACUAUUAUCAUCUCAUCUUGCAGAUGGGGAAGCCGAGUCAUGGAGCUGUAAAGUACCUAGUCCAAGGUUCCCAUGGUGGCAGUCUAGGCUCAGUCUCCAGAUACCCUCUGUACAUGCUCAUGGCUGAACUGCUUGGGUGGCAGAUUCGCUUAAAUAUGAGAGCAGACCUGAUCACAGGAGGACAAGGAGGAGCUGGUGAGUCAAGCUUGGGACACCAGGGACAUAGGACUACUCUGAUUAGGCCCAUAGUUUUGAUGAAGGGGCUGCUCUUCCAAAGGAGGCCUCCAGUAGCCAAGAUGGGAAGCUGUAAAUGGGGGGAGGGUGGCGGAAGAAGUGGGAGGGGAUCAGUUGGAUCAAAGCCAGAGGAAAUACUCAUUGGUUCCUUAAUUAUAGGAUGCCAUAGGAUUGGCUUUGCCUCUGGGUGUGGGGGCAGUAACCUGUGCUUUAAACAAACAGCCUUGUCACUCAACAAUAAUGAGCAGCAACAAUAAGCAUCUUCAAUGGGACGAAAUUGACAGGUGGCCCACAACAUGCAGCCUCAAGCCUGGCCUGCAGCUGAGCUUGAAUGCCACACCUGUGGAGCCAACCAGUCUGUGCUCAGGCAGCCCACAGGGUCACGGGCACAGAGGUGACAUGGUCUUUCAUGGGCCAUUUGCCAAGAACCUGUAGGCACUGUGAGACCCUUACCCAUGGUCUAGAGAAUUGAAGAGACAAGAUUAAGUUUGAAAAGUUAAACAGAAGCAUAAGAAAUACCACAUAUAUCAUGUGUAAGGCAUGUAGAUGUUCAGAGUCAAAUGGGAAUUCUGGACAGGGACUCCCUCCAGGCAGAUGGUAGGGAAGGAGGUCUAUAUCACACCACCAUGGUUCUUUUAAAAGUGGGAAACACAAAGAACAAAGAAGGAAGUAAGAAGUCA
rnacentral:lncRNA from 1 species